GACGAACGCUGGCGGUGUGCUUCACACAUGCAAGUCGAACGAGGUAGCAAUACCUAGUGGCGGACGGGUGAGUAACGCGUGGGAAUCUGCCUUUUAGAUGGGGGAUAACGGUCGAAAGACUCGCUAAUACCGCAUAUGACGAAAGUUGAAAGGAGUAAUCCGUCUAAAGAUGAGCCCGCGUCCGAUUAGCUAGUUGGUAGAGUAAAAGCCUACCAAGGCGACGAUCGGUAGCUGGUCUGAGAGGAUGAUCAGCCACAAAUAGGGACUGAGACACGGCCCAUACUCCUACGGGAGGCAGCAGUGGGGAAUUUUACGCAAUGGGCGAAAGCCUGACGUAGCGACACCGCGUGAGCGAAGAAGCCCCCUUGGGGUGUAAAGCUCUGUCAGCUGGAACGAAAAAAAAUGCGGUACCAGCAGAGGAAGCCAUUCGGCUAACUACGUGCCAGCAGCCGCGGUUAAAGUAGUCGUGU
rnacentral:rRNA from 1 species